rnacentral:rRNA from 1 species
GAUGAACGCUGGCGGCGUGCCUAAUACAUGCAAGUCGAGCGAACGGACGAGAAGCUUGCUUCUCUGAUGUUAGCGGCGGACGGGUGAGUAACACGUGGAUAACCUACCUAUAAGACUGGGAUAACUUCGGGAAACCGGAGCUAAUACCGGAUAAUAUUUUGAACCGCAUGGUUCAAAAGUGAAAGACGGUCUUGCUGUCACUUAUAGAUGGAUCCGCGCUGCAUUAGCUAGUUGGUAAGGUAACGGCUUACCAAGGCAACGAUGCAUAGCCGACCUGAGAGGGUGAUCGGCCACACUGGAACUGAGACACGGUCCAGACUCCUACGGGAGGCAGCAGUAGGGAAUCUUCCGCAAUGGGCGAAAGCCUGACGGAGCAACGCCGCGUGAGUGAUGAAGGUCUUCGGAUCGUAAAACUCUGUUAUUAGGGAAGAACAUAUGUGUAAGUAACUGUGCACAUCUUGACGGUACCUAAUCAGAAAGCCACGGCUAACUACGUGCCAGCAGCCGCGGUAAUACGUAGGUGGCAAGUGUUAUCCGGAAUUAUUGGGCGUAAAGCGCGCGUAGGCGGUUUUUUAAGUCUGAUGUGAAAGCCCACGGCUCAACCGUGGAGGGUCAUUGGAAACUGGAAAACUUGAGUGCAGAAGAGGAAAGUGGAAUUCCAUGUGUAGCGGUGAAAUGCGCAGAGAUAUGGAGGAACACCAGUGGCGAAGGCGACUUCCUGGUCUGUAACUGACGCUGAUGUGCGAAAGCGUGGGGAUCAAACAGGAUUAGAUACCCUGGUAGUCCACGCCGUAAACGAUGAGUGCUAAGUGUUAGGGGGUUUCCGCCCCUUAGUGCUGCAGCUAACGCAUUAAGCACUCCGCCUGGGGAGUACGACCGCAAGGUUGAAACUCAAAGGAAUUGACGGGGACCCGCACAAGCGGUGGAGCAUGUGGUUUAAUUCGAAGCAACGCGAAGAACCUUACCAAAUCUUGACAUCCUUUGACAACUCUAGAGAUAGAGCUUUCCCCUUCGGGGGACAAAGUGACAGGUGGUGCAUGGUUGUCGUCAGCUCGUGUCGUGAGAUGUUGGGUUAAGUCCCGCAACGAGCGCAACCCUUAAGCUUAGUUGCCAUCAUUAAGUUGGGCACUCUAAGUUGACUGCCGGUGACAAACCGGAGGAAGGUGGGGAUGACGUCAAAUCAUCAUGCCCCUUAUGAUUUGGGCUACACACGUGCUACAAUGGACAAUACAAAGGGCAGCGAAACCGUGAGGUCAAGCAAAUCCCAUAAAGUUGUUCUCAGUUCGGAUUGUAGUCUGCAACUCGACUACAUGAAGCUGGAAUCGCUAGUAAUCGUAGAUCAGCAUGCUACGGUGAAUACGUUCCCGGGUCU